UUCCGCCUCUGAUAUUCAAUCCGAAGCCAGAAAAGGGUCAGCGUUUACAGGCAGUGUGGAAGUUACUAAAGACAAGUUGAUAUUUUCUGUGGUCUCCCAGAAGAUGCAGUUACAAUAUUCAAACGCAAUUGAUUCUUUUUGCCCUUUUCUACCAGGAAAAUUUACAUGUAGGCCUGGGCUAAUCUCGGCUAAACUAUUUUGCUCCCAUGUCAUAAAGGUCACGGUUGGCUGUACGUUGUUCCGAGUCAUCUUCAGCGCCUGGCACACAGGGGACGUGAGAGACAGCAGGGGGAGGUGGGUUGGGUGAAUCAAUGCGUAGACGGCUAUUAGGUAAGUGCAGCUGAAAGGGCAAAUGUAUUUAAGUGAGUCGCUGUUUCCAUUACUUAAAUGGAACAUCAGCAUCAGCAGGGCGGGAUUGGCGGGCUGUGUUUCCAAGCGUCAACACCAACGACUUGACCCGAAAAUAUCAUCAAGGUUGUUUGUUUUUUUCCCCUGAUCUUUGAGUGCUGUGUAAUCUCUUUUCUCAGCAUGACAGGCCUCAGAGCCCAACCUCCAAAUUUGACAAAGGUCACAAAAAUAUAUGGGCAGUCGUGACUACCUGCCAUCACCCUGGACGGGGAGGGCCUGUGUGACAACGCGCAUCAUGUAAUUAAAACGACAAAUACAAAGAUGAACAGCAAAUUUGUGGAAAACAGUGCUGCUGAAGCAAAGUGGAGACUGGAUUAACGUUGAGAGCUAAAGCUUUCCAUUUAUACUCCAUACCCAGCUCCAUGGUUUUCUAUCCAAAAAAAAAACCCAAUCAGGAUUAUUGACAUGUAAACAAUCCAAUGACGGUCCUUUCUAGGAAGUCAAGACUUCAAUGCGAUGUUAACAAUAUAAAGUUAGCAUUUUUUGAAAAGUAAUUUUGAAUCAAUUGUCCUGCUAUAAUGAUUGACAUGUAAACUGCCAACAACUGCAAAGCUGGCUAAUUACAAUCCUAGAAGUCUAGACCUUAAGCAACAGAAGACUUUUCAAGCAAUCAAUUAAAUUGUGUUAGUGAUAGACCGCUCCAUGACUGCUUGACUGUUUAGGAAGGCAAAACUUAAAAAGUGGUAUGACUGACUAAACUGAAGCCUUGCUUUGCCACUAAGUGACCGUGGCGGCCAGCCGUCUGAAGGCAGAGCGGUCCUGGGCGAAGGCAAUGAGGGCCUGGUUGAUCGUGGUCAUCCGGGACGUCCACAUCAAUCCGGGGCGGCCACAUGGACAGCGUCAGCUUGUGGGCGGCAAACGAACACAUGCGGUGAGAACCUGUCUGGCCAGGACUGCGUCAUCCAUUCUGGCAACAUGGCCAAGGAAUUGCAGCCUUCCCCUCUUGGCGGUGGCGGUCCUAACCUGCCUUUUCAUAAACUAAAUCAUUGGUGACAUGGUGUAACUACCGGAUACAGAAGAUGUUCCAGAGCCAGGCCCUGUGGAAUGCAUCAACGUGAUGCAAAUGAACCCCUCAGUGGCGCUCCACUGUACAUUGUUGAAAUAUAUAUCUUGAAGACCAACAUCACCGGAUGUUGGAUGGAUAUUUUACCCACAUCUUUAUUUAUAAGACAUCAGAUCAGGCGGGAAGGCAUGAGAC